AAUUAAGAUUAUAAAUGCAGUGUCAAACCCACUGCUCAAACAAAAAGUAGCAUAUCAAACCAAAUACUAUUGAAUUUACCUUAUCUCAAAAGGUAAAACUUUGUAAAAAACUGGAUGCACAGCAUUAAUCAAAAGGAAAGCUUUAGACAUCGAUUAAAGAAACCAUGACUACAAGAAGUUACCCCAAUUAAAGAAUAUAAUUAGACUAUGUCAAAAUUAACAGACAGGGAUAAUCUCAUAAACAUAUAGAGAAGACAACAUAGAA
rnacentral:misc_RNA from 1 species